GGGGGGGAACUGGAUUCGACAGCAGUUAUGAACCCUUAAGUGCAUGUCGAGAAGGUAGUGAUUCUCGUUAAUCAAUUACUGCAAACUUGUUAGUUGGCGAUAACGCAGACUACGCUUUAGCCGCUUAAUUGGCUAACUAUCCUAGGUAGCGUGCCCGUGCGCCUCCAGUGAUAGUUGAUUUCAUGGGAUGCGGUUCUUAUAUUUCUCUAUAUAAGUUCUUAAGAUAAUAAUGAGAUGGUUUGCUAAACCCUGUUCAUCGGGUCUUAACAAAUGAGAUUAAUAGAUGAAACUAAGCAUGUAGAUCUUAUGGCAGAUUACUGGUGGACGCGGGUUCAAUUCCCGCCGCCUCCACCA
rnacentral:tmRNA from 1 species